rnacentral:rRNA from 1 species
UGCAUAUCCAAAAAGCGGAGGAAAAGAAACCAACAGGGAUUGCCUCAGUAGCGGCGAGUGAAGCGGCAAGAGCUCAGAUUUGAAAUCGCCUCGGCGAGUUGUAAAUUGCAGGUUGGAGUCUUUGUGGCGGCGUGUGUCUAAGUCCCUUGGAACAGGGCGCCAUUGAGGGUGAGAGCCCCGUGCGGCACGCGUCUAAGCUUUAAGACCCUUCUGACGAGUCGAGUUGUUUGGGAAUGCAGCUCUAAGUGGGUGGUAAAUUCCAUCUAAGGCUAAAUACUGCGAGAGACCGAUAGCGAACAAGUACUGUGAAGGAAAGAUGAAAAGCACUUUGAAAAGAGAGUGAAACAGCACGUGAAAUUGUUGAAAGGGAAGGGUAUUGGGCUCGACAUGGGGACUGCGCACCGUUGCUUCUUGUAGGCGGCGCUCUGUGCGGUUUCUGGGCCAGCAUCAGUUUUUGCCGCGGGAGAAUGGGGGGAGGAACGUGGCUCUUCGGAGUGUUAUAGCCUCUCUCAGAUGCCGCGAGCGGGGACUGAGGUCUGCGAUUCGUUCAAGGAUGCUGGCACAACGGCGCAAUACCGCCCGUCUUGAACCACGGACCAAA